CUGAAAUUGUUCUACCUUUUUAUGUGCAAAUUACAGCUACUGUCAAACCUUCAGCCACAGUGCAUUUAAUUUGUGGAAAUAUAAAAAUACCUGGCUUAAUAUUAAAAUAUUCUACAUGAAGAAGGAAAUAUUUUUAAGUGAUGUAUUGCAUUCAGGACUCUCCGAAAAAAAAAAAAAAAUCAGAUUUGAAAGAAAUAAAACGGCUGCAGGUGCAGAGUUGAUCCACCUCCCAUGCAUUCAGCAGUAAUGCAGAGAACCUGGGACAGGCAUUCAGCUUCGGCAGUUAAGGAAGAGAAGAGGGGAACAGCUUGGCACAGUCAGAGCUCUUAAAUACUAUCAGC
ensembl:lncRNA